rnacentral:siRNA from 1 species
AAGGGAUUGCAAUUGUCUUUUGGG